rnacentral:tmRNA from 1 species
GGGGGUGAUGGGCUUCGAUAGAACUUGAAAAUUAAAUAUGCAGGACGAGGAUAUCUCGUAACCUUGAAAAUCCGGUCGCCUUGGGCGACUGUGACAAUCCCCGAGAUCCAGCAAAUAACUGGCAAAACAAAUUUAACUCCUGCUUUCGCUUUUGCUUAAGUAGCAUCGGUCGCCUGACGCCCAGUAGGACGAUACCGGUGUCAACAAUUGGGCUCUAACCUGAAAAUUCUUCGGUUCGGGUUGAACUAAAGAAGAAAUUGGGAAUCCCCCAUUUUGACUGUUUCAAGGAGGAUUUUCAAAAAAUUUAAACAGCCUACGCCUGUAGAAAUAUUUAAUUAAAAAUUCUAGAUGCGAGUUCAACUCUCGCCAUCUCCACUC